UGCCACAGCAGGAACUCCUAUUUUCUAAUUCUUUAAUAUCUACUUUUAUCUUUAUACAUUUCUUCCUUUUACUGUAUUAGAUGCAGUAAUGCCAGUUCAUGCCUAAUGUAGCAUUUUGUAAAUUGUAUAUCAUUUCUAUUGUCCUCCCUAUGAGAAAUUUUAAAAGAGAAUGAAAUUUUAGUGAGAAGAAAUGGAAUAAAGUCCUUAAUUUUUUUCCUUUAAGUAAAUAUAAUUAUAAAUUUAACUAUCUUUUGAUGUUUGAUUUUGGAAUUGUUUCCUAAGCAACAAACCUAAUAUAACAAUAGGAGUAAAAAAAAAGAUGACUUUUUACUUAUUGACUUUCUUUAAAAUGGCCCUUAUUUCUUAUUAAAUAAUUAUACAAUGUCAAGCUAUAAUAUGAAGUUCAAAGAAAAAUACAUUUCCAGUUUCUCUUCCUGCCGAAAAGUUGCUUUAUCUAUUAGUUUAAUUGCUUAGCUACUUAGUAAGUAUACCUUGUUUGUGUGUGAUUUUGAUAUUAUGGGCCACUCCUUUCACUUCAGUUCAAUCCAACUGUCCUUUACUAUGUGCUUGCUGACUGUCUUUAGGUGCAAGAGAGAAAAAAUGCAGUGAGCUCUCUCCACACCUUCGCAUUCCCACCCCAAGGAGCUCACAGCCUGUUCUGUUUGGUACAGAUUGUUCUUUAAGCCGCACUCAGACUUUGCCAAAAUAUGUGCCACAAGACAGGACAGGGAGAAAAGAUUGCUUAACCCAGAUCAUUUGCCAUAAUUGUAAAAACAAGGAACAAAAGUUAAGCAGAUUAACAUGCAUGCUCAGUAGUCAGAAGGAUCCUCACAGCAGUAUCGCUUGUAGCAACCCUCAGGAGCCUGAAUGAAGCUCUUGUUUGACUCUCUGAAUCCUGCUGGUAUGGAUUUCCCAGAUUGUAUUUCCCCCGAGAAGCCUUGGUCCUCCCUGUUCUGCCAAGGAAAGCCAAAGCUGGCUGGAAUGCAGAUGACCCCCACGACCACCUUGGAAGCCAGCAAAGCCUCCUUCAGCCCAGCUGCCCAGGAAGGAGCCCUACUGACCAUGCAGUUCACUGGGUCCUAUUCUGUGAACAAGAAGUAACUCUACGGUUUCUGGAACUGUUCCUCAAUUAACUCAUUCCACCUCUUCCCAUCUCACCAGUCAUCAGUUUGGAAAACCUGCAUUACAUUUCUGACACUUACUAGGUAAAAGCGUUAAAUUAUAUUGAGGAUUCCAUGUGUGUUUAUUUCCUGCACUUCCCAGUUCCCAUUCCAGUCACCUGGGGAUGCAUCCACGAGCAAAAUCAAUGAAGUCAUGUCUACCAAUUUCUCCACUGAAGGAUGGGGUGGUACAUGAAUGGUUUUGUAUGAUCAAUAGUUGAACACAGGUCAGUUUAAUAAACUGAUUUCCAGUGCUUCUCAAGUUCAGAUAUGGCCCUGAGAGAAAGGUGAGCCCUUCUGUUAAGCCCUUCUGUUAACUGUUUUUUUCUUCUUUCUCCUCCUUCAAUUUUCCCAAACAUCACCUUGACCUUCCUCCACCACACACACACAUACACACACACCUGUCUUUGUAAACCUCAUGCAAUUAAGUGCUUAAUUAAUAUCGUGUGAAAAUAUUUGUAUGUUUCACUUAUCUGUUGCCGUGUAACAAACAGCCCCAUAACAUAGUGGCUUAAAACAGCCAUUUUAUUUGCUCAGGACUGGGUGGAUCAGGAAUUUGGGCUAGGCUCAGCUGGGUGGUCCUACUUCAAAUGACAUUACUUAUGGGGCUGCAUUGGUAGGAAUUUGGUCAAGGCUGGAGUGUUCAAGGUAUCUUCAAGCCUCUCUCCACUGGUCUCUCUCCAGCACAGCAGGGGGCCUUCUUACAGGACAGCUGACUUCCAAGACGGAAGACCAGCCUUGGAAAUUACACAUCACUUCUGCCACAUUUUAUUGGUCAAAAUAGGUCCCAGAGCCAGCGUAGAUUCAAAGGAAGAGGAAACAUAGGCCACCUCUUGUUGGGGGAAUGGCAAGGUCACAAUGCAAAUGUGCAUGUGGGAGAGAAGACAUCAUUGCAGCCAGUCAUCUUUGGGAGCAUGAACUACUGUACAGACCUGUUUUAUGUUAGUUGGUGACUCACUGUCACCCCAGCUGUGGUUAGUAGUAACGAAUGUAGGAUUAAUUUAUUCAUUUUCUCUCUGUGUGUCUUUCUGCUUUUUACUAAUUAGUACCUCAGCUAUAAAGGAUAUUUUGAACUAUAAUCCUGAGUUCCAUCAUUAUCUGUCAGUAUUUUCUCUACCACGGCACAAGAGGUGAUUCUGGCUAGCUUAAACAGAGGGAGUUUUUGUUGGUUCACCAGUUAAUUGAUGGAAGAUAGGAAAGUUGGAGAACUAGAUUCAGAAUAUGGACGAAACGUAAGGAAGGCUUGGUGGAAGGCAUAGCCAUGUUGACCCUUCUGUGACACUCUGGGCGGGACACUGCUGCUGGUGCUGUACACACUGCACAGUAGACUGCUGCCAUGGGGCUCUCACUGCCAUUGUGCCUGUGCCCCAGGCUUUGAUUCUUCCUCUGUGGCUCCCAGUCCUGAGUAGGAACAAUCCAUUGACAAUCUGUAUGUUUCUUCAUUGACCAGGAAGAGGGGAGAUGCUUCCUUCCAGGUCAAUGGUUGUGGCUGAGGGUAUUCUGCCUCUUACCUAGACUUACAUGAUGGGGUGUACCCCAGAUACAAAGAGUUCAGUACCUAGUACUGAACAUCUAGUAGUCAUUACUGACAAUAGUAAAUUGUCCGACCAGCUCCUGCUACUUCUGUGACCUCCACACCUAUUCACUCUGCUGCAGGCUCAGUGCAAAACACCAUGCACACUCCUGCCUCAGGGCCUUUGUACAUGCCAUUUUCACAUCUAAAGUGUUCUCCAAAUAUCUGCAAGAUGCCUUCCCACCUUAAUCAAAUCUUUACACAAACAUCACACUCUCAUAAGGCCUUUUAAUGCCAUUCUAUUUAUUUAU